UAUUAAAUUGCAUUUUGUAUUGCCGUUGUGCAGACAGUAUAAAAUACCUUGGCUGCAGCAGAGUGUCUCAAGAGGAUGUAGGACUGUUUGUACUGCAGCGAUGACACAGUAAAUCAGCGGGUUAUCCAUGUCAAGCAGUAGGCAAGUUGUGGUCUCCAGCAGAACUCCAAAACUCGACUCUUUCUGAUAUGGACCAUACAGAAGUGUGAACAGCUCAUGUGUUAAAGCUCCUCUAGAUGACCUGCGGCUGAUUAAAGAUGUUCAACUGAUGCUGAGUCUGAACACAUCAGCCCCAGGAUAAGGUGACGCAGUGGCGCAGUAGGUAGU